AUCUGCUGUCAGGAGGCUGACCUGGACCAUACCAUGCGUGGUGAAGCAUGUGUAACAAAUGUUCGCACAUUUGGAGUACUGUGCCGGGAAGAGGACGUGCUGUCGCUGAAGGAUGUCCGAGCUGAAGGAUGUCCGAGCGGAGACACCGGAGCGUCCUGUCAACAGCAGAUAAACACUGCUUCACCUAAGAGACUUGAGUAUCCAGUUCUUCAUUGACCUUCAGCAUUCAGUUGUUUGUCUUCACCUUUUCAGGUAAGCAAUUUAAAAAAAGUGCUUUUGUAAUGUUGAGAAACACUGAAAUUAUUAUUCAUAAAGAACUUUCAACCACUGUUCUGUGAUGUCACGUAUAGUGAUAUACAAAUAUAUCUGAAGGAAAGGUGUAUUUGGGAUAAUCAAUAUUAUUAGUAUUAUUCAUGUAUUUAUUCAUUUUUAAAUCAGAGAAUGGGGGAAAAUAGAUUAUUAGUACAAAAACUAGUAACUAGUAAAAAAAAAAUUGGUUACAAUAAUGUUCAUUCAUUAAUUGACGCUUGGUCAAACUCUCAUCUAAUUAAGUAUUGCUGUCUCAUUAAUGUAUUUAUUUAUUUUGUCGGCUAAAACCUGAGGAGCAGAAGAAGAAGAUUACUUUAUUAAUCCCACAAUGGGGAAAUUCAACCUCUGCAUUUAACCCAUCCUUUUUUACACACAAGUGAACACACCAUGCAAGGAGCAGUGGGCAGCACAUUACUGCGCCCGAAGCCAUCACCAUGUUGUUUUUUCACAUCAGAAUAAGUAUUUCACAUGAUGCAGAUUUUUCAGCAUGUGGUCCUCAAUAUAUAGUAUAGAAGUCACUGUAUUUUCUGACUUUUCCAGGUUUCCUGUGUCCAGCAUCUUCAAGACAGACUAAGCUAACUUUUCAUAUUUUUUGCACAUUUAUAUUAAGGUUAGGUUUAUAGUAGAGUAUUUAGUUUGUAUAGUUUAGCUUUUUAUGCUGGUCUAGGGACAGUUAAGUUAGCGAAUUAAUUUAGUUCAGAUCACUUACAGUUGCAUAUUAUUGUUACAAUUGUGUUAUUUUGUGAGUUAUUGUUGUACAGGCUAUUGUAUAUUGCAGGACCAAGUGAGACGAGGAAGACCACUGCUUCCAAGAUGCCGCGCUCAGAAAGUGCGUUGGACAAGUCUCGACCUUGCAGAUCCUGCCCCACUGAGCCCAACCACUUCCGACCAUGGGAUACCUCAAAGACCUCCGUCAACCAGCCGGCUGUUGAUGAUGGAUAACACACCCACAACUCCUUCUCCAGUCUACAAGACACCCCUACAGUCCAAGAACAGCUGGAUGACCUCUGGACCCACUUGCCCCCGUUCACCAGUUGAAAAGAUAGGCUUUUUAAAAAAUUCUUCAAUUGUUAAUUCUGUACAAAGUGAUACACAAAACAUUGUAUGUCUUCCAUUUCAACAAACACAAACAUGAAAUGUAUAUUUCAAUACAUAACUUAAUGCAAUUCAAU